rnacentral:rRNA from 1 species
GACGAACGCUGGCGGCGUGCUUAACACAUGCAAGUCGAACGGUGAUGCUCCAGCUUGCUGGAGUGGAUCAGUGGUGAACGGGUGAGUAACACGUGAGCAACCUGCCCCAGACUCUGGAAUAAGCGCUGGAAACGGCGUCUAAUACUGGAUACGAAACUGGCCCGCAUGGGCAUGGUUUGGAAAGUUUUUCGGUUUGGGAUGGGCUCGCGGCCUAUCAGCUUGUUGGUGAGGUAAUGGCUCACCAAGGCGACGACGGGUAGCCGGCCUGAGAGGGCGACCGGCCACACUGGGACUGAGACACGGCCCAGACUCCUACGGGAGGCAGCAGUGGGGAAUAUUGCACAAUGGGCGAAAGCCUGAUGCAGCGACGCCGCGUGAGGGAGGACGGCCUUCGGGUGGUAAACCUCUUUCAGCAGGGAAGAAGCGAAAGUGACGGUACCUGCAGAAGAAGCACCGGCUAACUACGU